ensembl:lncRNA
CUCCCAUCAAUAUUUUUAAUUCCUUCAGUGGCACAAACAUAUCUAGAUGAAGUAUGGAUUGUAGAUUAUUGCAUGCGUCUGGUGCACAAGAAGAGAAGGCAGUCUUGCCUAAUACUGUGAAUGUCCUGGGGACUUUAAGUAGCAACCACCUAGCAGACCGGGUAUGGUAACUGCUGGUGGUGUAGGAGACCAGACUACAGAGGUAAAGAGGGAGUUUACCCGAAAGGGCUUUGUAGAUAAACACAUACAAAUGUAUCAAUCUGUGCAUAUAAAGUGAGGUCCAACCUACCAUCUGGUGCAAUGGUAUUUGUAGGAUGACACUUUUUCAAUGGAUAAACUACCAGAUUUGACAAUGCUAACAUUCUCUGGUCAGAGUUCUAGCUCUGGUAAAGGUCAUGAAUUACAUUUUUUGUACAUUCUAGAACAGGGAGGCCUGCAGUGACUGAAAAGCAGUGUGGAGCUCAUCAACAGCCUGAACCAGAGAAGGAGUACAUUAUCAUCUGCAUAUAUCAUCUGCAUAUAGAUGGAACUUGCUGGUUGCAUCCCAUUUCCCAAAUCAUUAAUACAAUUUGAGAACAACACAGGAUUUAAAAUGGAACCCUGGGGCACACCUCAAUUAAUAAAGGGGCGGCAGGGUAGCCUAGUGGUUAGAGCAUUGGACUAGAAACCGAAAGGUUGCAAGUUCAUAUCCCCGACCUGACAAGGUACAAAUCUGUCAUUCUGCCACUGAACAGGCAGUGUUCCUAGGUCAUCAUUGAAAAUAAGAAUUUGUUCUUAACAGUAUAUACACAUUGUGUUCUGCCCCUUCACUGAGACUAUUUUUUUUUAGUCUAGCUAGCAACAAUUCAUGGUCAACUGAAUCAAAGGCCUUUGAUAAAUCCACAAACAGAGCAGAAGACUGUUACUUUUUAUCAAGUCCAUUAAUGAUGUCGUUUGCCACUGCCAUAGCUGCAGUUGUGGUGCUGUGCCCCGAUCUAAAGCCAGACUGAACCCCGCUCAGUAUGUUUGUUUCAAUUAAGACGUUUUUUAACUGUGAGCUCACUAGGGAUUCAUAGACUUUGGCCAGGAGAGGGAGUUUAGAGAUAGGACAAUAGUUAUUAGCAUCUGAGGGAUCUCCACCCUUUAGCAGUGGGAGGACAUAAUCUGAUUUCCAGAUGCUGGGUAUGGAAUUGGUCAAGAGACACAAGUUGAAAAUGUGAGCCACAGGUUCAGUAAUAAUACCAGCUGCUAUCUUUAAGAGGUAGGGGUCCAGGUUGUCUUGACCUGCAUGCUUUUUAGAGUCUAUUGCCUUUAGUGCUUCAUAGACCUCAGUAUAAGAAACAGGCUCAAAGUUAAAAUGGUUCACAUGAGGGCCUAUAUCAUAGUUGACUGUACCAGAGCUUACAUUAAGCUGCACUACUCUGGACGGUUAUGACUUAUGUGAAUAUGUGGACGACUACAAAUACCUAGGUGUCUGGUUAGAUUGUAAACUCUCCUUCCAGACUCAAAUGAAGCAUCUCCAAUCCAAAAUGAAAUCUAGAAUUGGCUUUCUAUUUCGCAACAAAGCCUCCUUCACUCAUGCUGCCAAACAUACCCUUGUAAAACGGACUAUCCUACCAAUCCUUGACUUCGGCGAUGUAAUUUACAAAAUAGCCUCCAACACUCUACUCAGCAAAUUGGAUGUAGUCUAUUACAGUUCCAUCCGUUUAGUCACCAAAGCCCCAUAUACUACCCACCAUUGCGACCUGCAUGCUCUUGUUGGCUGGCCCUUGCUUCAUAUUCGUCGUCAAACCCACUGGCUCCAGGUCAUCUAUAAGUCGUUGCUAGAUAAAGCCUCGCCUUAUCUCAGCUCAUUGGUCACCAUAGCAACACCCACCCGUAGCACACGCUCCAGCAGGUAUAUUUCACUGGUCAUCCCCAAAGCCAACACCUGCUCUGCUGCCAAUGACUGGAGCAAAUUGCAAAAAUCACUGAAGCUGAGACUUAUAUCUCCCUCUCUAACUUUAAGCAUCAGCUGUCAGGGCAGUUUACUGAUCACUGUACCUGUACACAGCCCAUCUGUAAAUAGCACACCCAACUACCUCAUCCCCAUAUUGUUAUUUAUUUAUUUUUUGCACUUUUGCACCCCAGUAUCUCUACUUGCACAUCAUCUGCACAUCGAUCACUCUAUGGCCUAUGUAUUGCAUUACCUCCCUAAUCUUACUACAUUUGCACACACUGUAUAUAGACUUUUCUAUUGUUUUAUUGACUGUGCGUUUGUUUAUGUUUUUGUUUUUGUCGCACUGCUUUGCUUUACCUUGGCCAGGUUGCAGUUGUAAAUGAGAACUUGUUCUCAACUGGCCUACCCGGUUAAAUAAAGGUGAAAUAAAAAAUAUAAUAAAUAAAUAAAUAAAAACAUUAGAGGCCUGGCCCCCACCAUUAUCAAAAACUGAACCAGCAGAUAUGAAGUGCUUGUUAAAAGCCCUUACAAUAUCGGCUUUAUCUUUCACUUCAUUAGAAUCCAUCAUUAAUGGUCAGGAAGGCCAGAGGAUACAUUAUAACCGGACACUGAUUUGAUUAGCUUCCAGAACUUGGUAGGGUUGUUUACAAAUCUCAUAUAAAAAUAUUCCCAGGCAGUGACUGUCAACAUCAGGAAUCAAACUUACUCUGUCAAUAUUAUGGUACAGAUCAUGUAAGAAAGCUUGCUCAUCAAAUUGUCUACAUUUUUUUGUAUUUUUUUAAAUAUAACGAGGUUUGGCUUCGGUCAUUUUUGUAUUUAUAACAUAAACAAUUGCACAGUGAUCACUGACAUCAUUACAGAAUAUCCCAGUCGAUGUGUAUUUGUGAGGGAUAUUCGUUAGAAGAACACGCAAUAGCGUUGAUUUGUUAGGUGCUCUGGGAUUCGGUCUUGUAGGCGCAUUAAUUAAUUGAGCGAGAUUCAGAGAGUCACACAGUUCUUUAAAAGAGUCCAAUACAGAUGUAAGCAUCUCCCAGUUCAAAUCUCCUUAAAUAAUUCAGAUUGGACAAUUUGACAAUACUUUGAAAGCACUGUUGCUAUUCUGUCUGCACUGUUUGACGGGACUGUAAGUUGGCCGUAGUUGGCUAGCUAGCAAGCAAGGGAUAAAAACAUUGCCAGCCAGUAUGGCAAUAGAACAUUUAUAACGAACGACUGUGUCGCGUCCACAGAUACAGAACAAAAAGACAACGACUGGGUCACGUCUCUGGCAACCGAACCAAUAGAACGAACGACCAGCCGGCUUGAGUAGCAACCCUAGAUUUGUUUCAGGACUAUAUCUUGUGGAAGGAUGAAAUAGUAUGAAUAAAUUCAUCAAAAUAACGUUUUUAAUGAAAAUAUGUCAAUCAUUAUUUGAAUAUGUUGGUAACCCGCUGUAUAAAAGUGAUAAUGACCUCGAAGUCAGUGUUUGGAGGAUACAUUGGCACGGUUUGCCGACCCUGGACUUCGUCUCGGACCUAACAACCCCUGUGCCAAUAUUCUCCAAAUACUGUCUUCUCGGGCAUUAUCACUUAAAUAGCACUGGUGUCUCCAUUCAAGUCAAUGAUGGCAUAAUGGGUGGACUGGUGACCAUAGCGAGUGUAUCCACAGGAAUUUAUACAUGAGCUAGCAACUUUUGACAGACUGGUUUCGGCUGGACGAACAAAAAAAUGGUUGCCGGUUGCAACCGGAUACCAACUGUGUUCUGUGGAGAAAAAAAGUGUUCCAAUAGCUGCAUAAUCAUCCUGUUUGGAGGGUAGCUGUGAGGGUAAUUGAAUCUGGAUCAAAUCCUCUGUUGUCCUCGAGCUCAUUAAUAAUGUUUGAAGAUGACAGAAAGGCCAGUCUCUUUUGGCACAUGACAUGGAGUACAGAGAGUGGAUUAGCUAAAGAGACUGGUACCCAGGCUAAUGUUAAUAUGAUAUCUGAGUGAAAGUGACUAACAAAAUAAAUGGGGGCCCCCUGGAGGUCAAGGCACUGGGACUGUCACUACUGAUGCACAACCAAUUUUCAAAAUUGCACCUUGUUUAUUAUACUAUAAAAAAAUGGCCAAGUCUGGACCUCAGUGUCCUCUUAUGUAGCUACAGCCAUGCCCACAUCCUUUGAGAGAUGAAAUUGUUCUGUCUGUUGUCUCACUCUCUGCAAGUGAACGCAGUGUAACACUCUGGUGGCCUAAUACAUGGACUAGAUAUAAUAAUAACCACAUCCAUGUAAGGUCUGCAUUCAUUCCACUGUAUGACCUCAUUCUAGAACAUAACCAGAACUGUGACUUACCUAAUUCUAGAACACAACCAUGACUAACCCCUUUAUAUUGUUGGCAAAGGAAAUCACAGAAUGCCAUCUGAAGCCACGACCACGCAUGUCUCUUGAAUAAUGCAGUGAGAUGGUGGGCUGGCCAACGACUGUAUCAUACUAUUUAUGGGUGUGAAUGAGAUGUAUGAUGAACUGUGUCAAGUGUUGGAAGGAGGGAGGAGAGUCAUGUGUGGAAAUCUACACUAUGCUGUGCCUUUUACAACAUUGUACUGAACAGUUAUGAUACAGUGCCUUAUGAUUUAUGCUGUUGUCUUGGACAUCUAAUUGUAUCCCCCUAUGUGAUUUUUAUUGGAUAAUAAAUUAGCCACAGCAAAUCAAAUGUAUUUAUAUAGUCCUUCGUACAUCAGCUGAUAUCUCAAAGUGCUGUACAGAAACCCAGCCUAAAACCCCAAACAGCAAGCAAUGCAGGUGUAGAAGCACGGUGGCUAGGAAAAACUCCCUAGAAAGGCCAAAACCCAGGAAGAAACCUAGAGAGGAACCAGGCUAUGUGGGGUGGCCAGUCCUCUUCUGGCUGUGCCGGGUGGAGAUUUUAACAGAACAUGGCCAAGAUGUUCAAAUGUUCAUAAAUGACCAGCAUGGUCGAAUAAUAAUAAGGCAGAACAGUUGAAACUGGAGCAGCAGCACGGCCAGGUGGACUGGGGACAGCAAGGAGUCAUCAUGUCAGGUAGUCCUGGGGCAUGGUCCUAGGGCUCAGGUCCUCCGAGAGAGAGAAAGAAAGAGAGAAGGAGAGAAUUAGAGAACGCACACUUAGAUUCACACAGGACACCAAAUAGGACAGGAGAAGUACUCCAGAUAUAACAAACUGACCCUAGCCCCCCGACACAUAAACUACUGCAGCAUAAAUACUGGAGGCUGAGUAUAGCCCACAAAGAUCUCUGCUAUGGCACAACCCAAAGGGGGGCGCCAACCCAGACAGGAUGACCACAUCAGUGAAUCAACCCACUCAGGUGACGCACCCCUUCCAGGGACGGCAUGAGAGAGCCCCAGUAAGCCAGUGACUCAGCCCCUGUAAUAGGGUUAGAGGCAGAGAAUCCCAGUGGAAAGAGGGGAACCGGCCAGGCAGAGACAGCAAGGGCGGUUCGUUGCUCCAGAGCCUUUCCGUUCACCUUCCCACUCCUGGGCCAGACUACACUCAUUCAUAUGACCCACUGAAGAGAUGAGUCUUCAGUAAAGACUUAAAGGUUGAGACCGAGUUUGCGUCUCUGACAUGGGUAGGCAGACCGUUCCAUAAAAAUGGAGCUCUAUAGGAGAAAGCCCUGCCUCCAGCUGUUUGCUUAGAAAUUCUAGGGACAAUUAGGAGGCCUGCGUCUUGUGACCGUAGCGUACGUGUAGGUAUGUACGGCAGGACCAAAUCAGAGAGAUAGGUAGGAGCAAGCCCAUGUAAUGCUUUGUAGGUUAGCAGUAAAACCUUGAAAUCAGCACAUAUAAGCAAUAUGUAUUUUGUACCAUCAGUCUGGAACGUUGUUCUCUCAGGACCGCAGUUCAGGUCUUUGUAGGUCAAAUGUUUACCGAGACAUAUUCUCGCAGGACCAGACCAUGACACUGAAUACUCGUUCAAGGAUGGCUUGAGGUGAGAUGCCUGUAGACCCGAUGUAGACCCAAGACCCAAUGCCCAGAUGCUUUUCAGACACUCCAAUGGGUCCUAGAGCAGAGCAUGGGCUGAACAGAGCUAGGCUGGGUUAGGAGGGGAUCAUUCUGCCUCUGUGUGAGCUGUGUGAGAGUAAGCUUUGCUCUAAGGGCUUGUCGGGAAAGACAGCCACAUUGUUUAAAGCUCCAGGAGAUUACCCCAGUCCCACUUCAGCCUGGGAGGCUGUGAUAUGAGGGCUGGAUGGAUUUAUAGCAGGUUGGCUCAGGCUGAAGUGGGAGCUGAACUGAAUUGAAGUGAGCCUGUUUUCUGUCUGACUAUCCUGCGGCAGGUACUGGACUGGACAGACAGGUCUGUCUAUACCAGUAGAGCGCAGGGAAUAUCAGUCAGGGACAUAUUGUUUAAUCCAUAUUGCCAAGGUCUGCAUCACUGUUAUACCAGAGAGGGAUUGGUCUCAUUGAGAAGGUCUCUACCACUAUAAAAGCAGAGAAGGAUGGAGUCAGAGGUGAGGGGCCUGUGGUGAUGAACCUCCACAGUCUCACAUUUAAAAGGCUCUCAUUACACCAAGGACAUUGCAAUAAGAGACUGUGUGUUGUAAAUCUUUUGGUUUCAAUUUGUUUUGAAUGGUACUGACAUUAUAUGUUACCCACAUAAUAAGAACCAUCAAAUGCCAAAGCGUAGCCAAUCAGAUGAAUACUAGGAAUCAAAUACCAAGGGACAUACAAUGUAAUAUAAUAUAAAGUCUCACGCAUCUACAGGGACAUCCUGAGGUUCCCUGCAACAACCAAUUAAAAUGUCCGACCACAUUAAUGUCAGAACAGAAACGGUGCAAGGUGAUGAUUAUAGAAGAUGGAAGAUGUAUUAUCAUUUGUCAAGAUCAUACUUUAUGUUAUAAUGAUAUAAUUAUAAGGGCAUUACAAAGACAAGCCUCCUUGACAUCUCCAAUAUGAAUUGAUUCACUUUUACCCUCUCACUUUUACAUCUCUUGUAAAUAGAGUCCUUUGCCAGGGUGUGUGUCUAAAAAGAUACCUGUUAUCUAUAUACUGCAAUCACUUUCAACUGGACAAAUUAAGUGCACUAUAUAGGGAAUUAGGCUGCCAUUUUUGAUGUAGUAGCCUAUAGAUGAACCCACAUCCACUAACUUAUUAUAGGGGACUAAUAGUGCUCUUUUUCCUACCUUUGUCCCUUCAAUAGAGAUUUGUGUCUCACCUAAUGGAAAGCUGAGGCAGGUUCAUGACUGGAUAUUUACAGCUGCUCCAGUCCACUAUUUACAUACUUUAUGGCCUAUCCAGUGAGCAGAGGGACGGAGAUGGAAGCCAUUUGCAGUUCAACCCUCAGGGGAGAGAGAGGCUGACCUCUAACUUAGGUUAGAGACCAGUCGGCUGACAGGUUUACUAAGCUGGAGCAGCGAUGGGAGCCCCAUGAAACUAUAGUACACUGUAUGGUGGGAAAGCAGAGAAGAGAACCCAUGGUGGUCACAAAGGUGUAUAUUUACAGACACAAAUGUGUAUAUUUACAGACACAAAUGUGUAUAUUUACAGGUACAAUUCAUAGUGAUCAAUAUCUCAGAAUUAGAAGUUAACAUGGGGAAGUUAGGCUCAUUUUUCUCUGUAGUCCCUUGGCAUGGUAAAUAAAUACACACAGCUAAUAGCUGACUGCUCAAAACACAACAAUGUCCACAGUAAUAAGCUAGUCUGUCAGGUGUGAUAUAAUAUACCUCUAAAAUCGUCUUGGUUGUUAUUAGAUACUCACAGGACUUUCCUCCUCUAGAAAAAACAUGGGUCUGGGCUGUUAAUAAAAACAUGGGUCUGGGCUGUUAAUAAAAACAUGGGUCUGGGCUGUUAAUAAAAACAUGGGUCUGGGCUGUUAAUCAAAACAUGGGUCUGGGCUGUUAAUCAAAACAUGGGUCUGGGCUGUUAAUCAAAACAUGUGGUGGUGUCGUGGUGUCGUUGUGUUGUUGUGCUGAGCAAUUAUUUUCUCCUGUUUAAUGUCUUGUUAGUGGCACCUCACCACACUCAGCCAACCCAGUCCCUCCCCCAUGUGAUUUGAGGGGAUUGUUUUCUCUAUGCGUCAUUGAGACGCUCCCAGAAAGCAAUAAAGUGACAGAAAACACAGCAGUAUGAUGGGAAACAACCAUAAUGUCCCAGUCUAUUCCGCACAGAUGGGCAGUAGCAUUAUACAGUUUAGGUAGUGGGAUUUAAACUUUCUGAUUAACACCUUAUUAGGAUGGAGUUUGGGAUGUUGUGUUGUUACUGCCCCCGGAACCAUGUCGCAUUCAAUUUUGACAAGUUAACGUGAUCAAACUUAUAUAAUGCAGUGAGUUGAUGAAAUCAUUCUUGUUCGUGUUCCAGUCUUCACUACAGUAAAGUAGGAGGCUGCGGUUGAAUUCAGUUCUAUCAGCACGAAUAGCUCCUCGAGGCAGAGAGAGCUAUAUUUUAUUCAGCACCGUAUUCAGCAUAAACAGAUGUUAAAAUUGUACUUUUCAGCAAUAAGACUCAAUGAGCUCUAUUGGCAGCUGCAGAUUGAGGUCACGGGUGGUCAGUGAUUUAAAUAACCCUGACCAAUAACUUUUCUCGGAUCUCAUUCUCAAAUUACAGCAGAUUCUCCAGCAGUGUCACUCUCUUGAUAUUCUCUUGUGACAGAUGUUAACAUUUAAAUGUUAACCAAAAAUAAUAGUUGGCCAAAGCACACGCUAGAUUUGGUUGUGGUACCAAGAUAACUCUCCGAAUGAACCACUAUGAUUUGACUUAAACAUAUUGAAUGGCAUCUCUCUGCUACAUUAUGAUAUUUAUUGAACCGUUAUUUAACUAGGCAAGUCAGUUAGGAACAAAUUCUUAUUUACAAUGACAGCCUACCGGGGAACAGUGGGUUAACUGCCUUGUUUAGGGGCAGAAUAACAGACUUUUACCUUGUCAGCUCAGGGAUUCAACCCAGCAACUUUUCAGUUACUGGCCCAAUGCUCUAACCACUAGGCUACCUGCCACCUAACAUUACUGGUUCAUUUGGUUGGGAGUCUUGUUUUUCCUCUAGGUGCUUUUGGUCACACUUCCCUGCAAAAAGGAGGGAUUGGGAGCCAUAUAGAUAGAAUUAUGGAACAUUGACUUGAAUGGGGAUUCCAGUUCUAGUAAUUAUAUUUCUAUGUUGGCAGCUGCCUGCCUCUAGUUCCUGUAGUGCUGUGAGGGCACAGGAGAGAGAGAGAGGCUGGCUCACAACAAUUUACUGUAGAUGCUCUUCAAUGAUAUCUGCACCAGACACGCACAUGCCUGCCUUGUCGAGAGUGCUAACACUGUAACUUGGUCUAGCUCAUAUUUUGGAAUGUCAUUUCAACUGUACCCAGUGGAUAAUAGGCAGAAUCUACCAUACAUCCAGAACUGAUUAGUGAAGGUUCUGGAGGCAAAAGGCAAAACUGGAAAAACAGGAAAAAGUCUCUGCACACAUUCAGUCAGAUGCACAUUUCUUAUUGUGGCUGAGCUUUCAGUCAGUCAACCUUCAUGAGAGCACUGUACCCAGUGGGAAAGCUAACAUCAACCAUGGAACACGGUUUUGUGAGUAAGAUGGGAGGAAAGAAACUGCACAAAGAUCUGUGUUGCAUUAUGUAACAACAACAACGUGACUAACAUAAAAGUUUUGAGACGUUGAUUGACUGCACCAACUGAAAUUCUUUUGAAGGUGUAGAACAGAUUGCUGGGUAGCAAGAAAUGUAGAUCAAAUAAUGAGGGUUUUUGUUUUAAGCACAAUUCCAAGCAUACUUUUGUAUCAAAAGCUUUCAAUACAUAUGAACACACACACACACACACACACACACACACACACACACACACACACACACA